CGUAGGUAAACGGUUUAUUAUUUUAAAUUCUGAAUGCGAUAUGAAACCAGUUACGUAUAUCUACUACUGUGAUAAAUUACUAUU